AGCGAACGUUUGCGGCGGGCCUAACACAUGCAAGUCGAACGGGCUAGCAAUAGUCAGUGGCGCACGGGUGCGUAACACGUGGGUAAUCAACCCUUCAGCUCGGGAUAACGCCUUGAAAGGGGCGCUAAUACCGGAUACGACGCGAGGAGCUUCGGCUGCUUGCGGGAAAGAUUCGCAAGGAUCUCUGAAGGACGAGCCUGCGGCCCAUCAGCUAGUUGGUGAGGUAAGAGCUCACCAAGGCGAAGACGGGUAGCUGGUCUGAGAGGAUGAUCAGCCACACUGGAACUGAGACACGGUCCAGACUCCUACGGGAGGCAGCAGUGGGGAAUAUUGCGCAAUGGGCGAAAGCCUGACGCAGCCACGCCGCGUGAGCGAUGAAGGCCUCGGUCGUAAGACUCUGUGGGAGGAGAAGAAUAAAGACCUGUGAAGAAUAGGGCCGUUGACGGUAGUCUCCUUAGU
rnacentral:rRNA from 1 species